GGGCCGGUAGAUCAGUUCGGUUAGAUCGCCUGCUUUGCAAGCAGGAGGCCCCGGGUUCAAAUCCCGGCCGGUCCA
rnacentral:tRNA from 1 species